GCUCUUGCGCAGUGGCAGUAUCAUAGCAAUGAGGUCAAACCGAGGCGUGAUUAUUGCUAAUUGAAAACUUUUCCCAAUACCCCGCCGUGAUGACCUUGAAAUAUAGGUCAGCACUGGCAAUUUUCGACCAGUCUCUCAGGAGA
rnacentral:snRNA from 1 species